rnacentral:rRNA from 1 species
UUCGCAAUGCCCGAAAGGGUGAACGAGCGACGCCGCGUGCGGGAUGAAGGGUUUCGGCUUGUAAACUCCUGUCGAGGGGGAGGAAGGGGCAACCUUGACCGACCCCUGGAGGAAGCACGGGCUAAGUUCGUGCCAGCAGCCGCGGUAAGACGAACCGUGCGAACGUUAUUCGGAAUCACUGGGCUUAAAGCGCGUGUAGGCGGACGGGGACGUCGGUCUUUGAAAGCCCCCGGCUCAACCGGGGAAGUGGAGCCGAAACGACCGGUCUGGAGGGACGUAGGGGGACCUGGAACUUCCGGUGGAGCGGUGAAAUGCGUUGAGAUCGGAAGGAACGCCCGUGGCGAAAGCGAGGUCCUGGACGUCUGCUGACGCUGAGACGCGAAAGCUAGGGGAGCAAACGGGAUUAGAUACCCCGAUAGUCCUAGCCGUAAACGAUGGGCACUAAGUAGAGGGGUUUU